UACGAAGGGGGCUAGCGUUUUUCGGAAUUACUGGGCGUAAAGCGCACGUAGGCGGACUGCCAAGUCAGGGGAGAAAUCCCGGGGCUCAACCUCGGAACUGCCUCUGAUACUGUCAGUCUAGAGUCCGGAAGAGGUGGGUGGAAUUCCUAGUGUAGAGGUGAAAUUCGCAGAUAUUAGGAAGAACACCGGUGGCGAAGGCGGCCCACUGGUCCGGAACUGACGCUGAGGUGCGAAAGCGUGGGGAGCAAACAGG
rnacentral:rRNA from 1 species